AAGCUAAGCAUUUUCUUAUCAUCCACUAAAGAAGCAACAAGAUGUUGGUGUCCUCCUUCUAGUAGGAAAAGUGAAUGGCCUGAGCUUGUGUUCGUAGAAUAUUAUGAAGUUGCAGAUAUAAUACAAAAGGAGAAUCCUAACGUCAAACCACAAAAGAUUCUUGCCGGGAGUCCGAUGAUUUUGAAUUACGAUCCUUCACGAGUUUGGGUUAUUGUCAAUAUUAAGGAUGUUUGUAUUUCACCUCCCAAAGUUGGUUAAAAAUUACUCACGGCUAUCGUUGUAAAAGUUAUAUGUACGUGUCUAUAUGAAAGUACUAAUAAGGUAGUAUCUAACUACCAUUUUAAUUA